GACGUAGGGCGCGAGCGUUGUCCGGAUUUAUUGGGCGUAAAGAGCUCGUAGGCGGCUUGUUGCGUCGACCGUGAAAACCCGGGGCUCAACUUCGGGCUUGCGGUCGAUACGGGCGGGCUAGAGUUCGGUAGGGGAGACUGGAAUUCCUGGUGUAGCGGUGAAAUGCGCAGAUAUCAGGAGGAACACCAAUGGCGAAGGCAGCUCGCUGGGACGGUACUGACGCUGAGGCGCGAAAGCGUGGGGAGCAAACAGG
rnacentral:rRNA from 1 species